rnacentral:rRNA from 1 species
AUGGGGUUGAUGGAGAAGAAGAGGAAACAGAGGCGGGUGUUCUUGCGGCACUCGGCUGGUUCCAAAACCCCUCUGGAGGGGAAAGAGCAGAGGAUUCAGGAGAAGAAGCAACCAGAGGAGCCGGAGAACAUGGCCCCUGUCCUGUAUAUCGGCCACAUCCCCCAUGCUUCUAUGAGUACCAGAUGCAAGGUUUCUCAGUAA